GAGGAAAUCCUCUCCAUCCCGCUCCUUGUAAGGAAGUCCCCACUACAACUCCUAUUUCAUGUGGGGUGGGCAUUGAGAAAGUGAUCUUGCUCCUAAACUGCGCCGAUGCCAUUCCUAUUUAAAGAUAACUAAUGUCCUAUUUAAUUAUUAGGGUUAAUUUCACUCAUAGUUCCUCUACUUAAUUGGUUUUUCAGUAAUACUACUCGACUUUAAUUUAUAUUAUAAAAAUUUCUGAACUUCAAUUUAAAUAUCAUUAAAAUCUCUAUGACUUACUAUUACAGGUUUCAGGUUAACUGAUAGCUAUAUUUUACUUAUCGUCCCUCAACUUUAGUAAAUAUAACACACACAUCCCUAAACUUUAAAUUAUCUCACAAAAAUCUUUCAAAUUUAAUUUAACACAUUAAAUUUUUAAUACAAAAUGUACUAAAU
rnacentral:misc_RNA from 1 species